rnacentral:rRNA from 1 species
GACAGAGGGGGCAAGCGUUGCUCGGAAUCACUGGGCGUAAAGGGCGCGUAGGCGGGAUGGCAAGUCGGUCGUGAAAUCCCUCGGCUCAACCGAGGAACGGCGCUUGAUACUGCAAGGCUUGAGGGAGGCAGGGGUAAGCGGAACUGAUGGUGGAGCGGUGAAAUGCGUUGAUAUCAUCAGGAACACCGGUGGCGAAAGCGGCUUACUGGGUCUCUACUGACGCUGAGGAACGAAAGCUAGGGUAGCAAACGGG